GAGAGGUGUAUCCAACAAAUUUCUUCCUAAAACGAUGUCAGUUAUGGUCGCAGCUGCUAAUGCAACCUCCACAUCAAACUUUGUCGCUCAUCUUGCUAACAACAGUAGAGGAAGAGCCAGCACAACUUCAAUUUCUUUUUUUUCCAACCAAUGCUUGCCAUGGCCAGUGCUUCAAUGUUCUUAUCUCCAUAGAAAGCGAAAAGAGAUCAAAGAUUUCCUAUAGUAAAAAAAUAUGGGUUCGCCUGUCUAGUUCAAUGCAUUUCUAUUUUCUCUACUCG
rnacentral:lncRNA from 1 species